UACGAAGGGGGCUAGCGUUGCUCGGAAUCACUGGGCGUAAAGCGCACGUAGGCGGAUUGUUAAGUCAGGGGUGAAAUCCUGGAGCUCAACUCCAGAACUGCCUUUGAUACUGGCGAUCUCGAGUCCGGGAGAGGUAUGCGGAACUCCGAGUGUAGAGGUGAAAUUCGUAGAUAUUCGGAAGAACACCAGUGGCGAAGGCGGCAUACUGGCCCAUUACUGACGCUGAGGCUCGAAAGCGUGGGGGAGCAAACAGG
rnacentral:rRNA from 1 species